rnacentral:rRNA from 1 species
CACGUAAGUAACCUGCCUUUAAGACGAGGAUAACAAGUGGAAACAUUUGCUAAGACUGGAUAGGAAAUAGAAGGAUAACCUUUUAUUUUUAAAAGACCUUCUUCGGAAGGUAUGCUUAAAGAAGGGCUUGCGCCACAUUAGUUAGUUGGUAGGGUAAAAGCCUACCAAGACUAUGAUGUGUAGCUGGACUGAGAGGUUGAACAGCCACAUUGGGACUGAGACACGGCCCAAACUCCUACGGGAGGCAGCAGUAGGGAAUUUUCGGCAAUGGAGGAAACUCUGACCGAGCAACGCCGCGUGAACGAAGAAGUAUUUAGGUAUGUAAAGUUCUUUUAUUGAAGAAGAAAAAAUAGUGGAAAAACUAUCUUGACGCUAUUCAAUGAAUAAGCCCCGGCUAACUAUGUGCCAGCAGCCGCGGUAAGACAUAGGGGGCGAGCGUUAUCCGGAAUUAUUGGGCGUAAAGGGUGCGUAGGCGGUUAGAUAAGUCUAUAAUUUAAUUUCAGUGCUUAACGCUGUUCUGUUAUAGAAACUGUCUAGCUAGAGUGAGAUAGAGGCAAGUGGAAUUCCAUGUGUAGCGGUAAAAUGUGUAAAUAUAUGGAGGAACACCAGAAGCGUAGGCGGCUUGCUGGGUCUUUACUGACGCUGAGGCACGAAAGCGUGGGUAGCAAACAGGAUUAGAUACCCUGGUAGUCCACGCCGUAAACGAUGAGUACUAAGUGUCGGGGUUAAACUCGGUACUGAAGUUAACACAUUAAGUACUCCGCCUGAGUAGUACGUACGCAAGUAUGAAACUUAAAGGAAUUGACGGGACUCCGCACAAGCGGUGGAUCAUGUUGUUUAAUUCGAAGAUACACGAAAAACCUUACCAGGUCUUGACAUACUCUGCAAAGCUAUAGAAAUAUAGUGGAGGUUAUCAGGGAUACAGGUGGUGCAUGGUUGUCGUCAGCUCGUGUCGUGAGAUGUUAGGUUAAGUCCUAAAACGAGCGCAACCCUUGUCGUUAAUUGCCAGCACGUUAUGGUGGGGACUUUAGCGAGACUGCCAAUUAAAAAUUGGAGGAAGGUGAGGAUUACGUCAAAUCAUCAUGCCCCUUAUGAUCUGGGCUACAAACGUGAUACAAUGGCUGUUACAAAGAGUAGCUGAAAUGCGAGUUUUUAGCCAAUCUCAAAAAAGCAGUCUCAGUUCGGAUUGAAGUCUGCAACUCGACUUCAUGAAGUUGGAAUCGCUAGUAAUCGCGAAUCAGCAUGUCGCGGUGAAUACGUUCUCGGGGUUUGUACACACCGCCCGUCAAACCACGAAAGUUGAUAAUACCCGAAAGCAGUGGCUUAACUU